UUUUCUCUAUGGUAUUCAACUUCAACAAAAUAGGGGAAUACCAUCAUUUCCUGUAAUAUAAAAAUAGGUUUCUAUUCAUUCCGCGUUUAUAAUCUCAAUCAUCUUUUGUUAUAAUUAUUGCCAGUUUUUGCUGUAUUGUGUAAAUUGUUAUCUACUUUAUUUGUCUCAAAAUAGGUACCUUACUGUGUGUAAUAGUCAUUCAUCGUCUGUUCUGUGUGCAAGCAGUAUUUAAUUAUUAACAAGACUGAUAAUAAAUACCGCCUACUCGCCUACUACAAAAGGUGUACCUAAAAACAACAACGAUGUUAAAAAGUAACCAAAAAGAUAUCAAAGAGUUACUGGAGAGUGAUGAUGAAUUUCCACCUGAUUAUCAUGAAAUUCCGGAUACCCCAGCAUACCAAAAUGACAUGCGUUUUGAACCAGUAAAAUUUGGAUGGAUUGAUACUAAUUUCAGCAAAUAUUAUAGUAAAAGGAAUGAAACAAAAACGAGGUUAACUGCAUUGCAUUCUUGUUUGAAUGAAAGCUUUGUACAUAACAAGACCCAAUAUUUAAGACCAGGUGAAAAGGCAUUGAUUUAUAAUGGAGUGCUGAGUGAAUCUGAUAUUGUAUGCCUUAAAUAUGUGGAGUCUCUAACAAGUGAUGCUACAUUGCUGUGGUUUAUACAUUUUUUGAUACAAAAAGAUAUGCACACAAACUUUACUUUUCUGAGAACUUGCCUUGUGGAUUCAAUGAGCAUCAAUAAUGAUCAAAGUCCAUUAACAUGUGACUCAGAAAUCAAAAAAUUUAACUUUGAAAUCAUCUACAAUAAAUAAUUAGGUAUUAAGCCCACAAUUUAUACAACACCUCGAGUUAGUUGAAUAAAUAAAAUAAUGAUUGUAUUAUUAAGUUUACUCAUAAGAUACGCUAAAUUUUUUAUAUUAAU